rnacentral:rRNA from 1 species
AGAGUUUGAUCAUGGCUCAGGGUGAAUGCUGGCGGCGUGGAUAAGUCAUGCAAGUCAAGGGGGCCCGCAAGGGCAACCGGCAGGACGAGGUAGUAACACGUAGGUACAUCCCCCGAAGUCGGGCAUAGCCAUCCGAAAGGAUGGGUAAUUCCCGAUGGUCCCGUAAGGGUAAAGGUUUUUCGCUUCGGGAGUGGCCUGCGUAAUAUCAGCUAGUUGGUGAGGUAAUGGCUCACCAAGGCUACGACGUUUAGGGGAGCUGAGAGGCUGACCCCCACCGAUGGAACUGCGACACGGUCCAUACUCCUACGGGAGGCCGCAGACGAGAAUAUUCCGCAAUGGACGAAAGUCUGACGGAGCGACGCCGCGUGAUGGAUGAAGUGCCUUGGUACGUAAACAUCUUUUAUCGGGGACGAAGUUUAUUGACGGUACCCGAUGAAUAAGGAGCUCCUAACUCUGUGCCAGCAGGAGCGGUAAUACAGAGGCUCCAAGCAUUACCCGGAAUCACUGGGCGUAAAGGGUGUCUAGGCGGCCAUAUUAGUCUUGUGUUAAAUCCGUGGGCUCAACCUGCGGUCUGCAUGAGAAACGGUAUGGCUCGAGGGCGUGAGAGGUACACGGAACUCAUGGUGGAGGGGUGAAAUCCGUUGAUAUCAUGGGGAACACCAAAGGCGAAGGCAGUGUACUGGUACGUUCCUGACGCUCAAACACGAAAGCCAGGGUAGCGAAGAGGAUUAGAUACCCUAGUAGUCC